AGUGAACGCUGGCGGUAGGCCUAACACAUGCAAGUCGAACGGCAGCACAGUAAGAGCUUGCUCUUACGGGUGGCGAGUGGCGGACGGGUGAGGAAUACAUCGGAAUCUACUUUUUCGUGGGGGGUAACGUAGGGAAACUUACGCUAAUACCGCAUACGACCUACGGGUGAAAGCAGGGGAUCUUCGGACCUUGCGCGAUUGAAUGAGCCGAUGUCGGAUUAGCUAGUUGGCGGGGUAAAGGCCCACCAAGGCGACGAUCCGUAGCUGGUCUGAGAGGAUGAUCAGCCACACUGGAACUUAGACACGGUCCAGACUCCUACGGGAGGCAGCAGUGGGGAAUAUUGGACAAUGGGCGCAAGCCUUAUCCAGCCAUACCGCGUGGGUGAAGAAGGCCUUCGGGUUGUAAAGCCCUUUUGUUGGGAAAGAAAAGCAGCAGGUUAAUACCCCGCUGUUCUGACGGUACCCAAAGAAUAAGCACCGGCUAACUUCGUG
rnacentral:rRNA from 1 species